rnacentral:rRNA from 1 species
AUUGAACGCUGGCGGCAGGCCUAACACAUGCAAGUCGAGCGGAUGAGGAGAGCUUGCUCUCUGAUUUAGCGGCGGACGGGUGAGUAAUGCCUAGGAAUCUGCCUGGUAGUGGGGGAUAACGUUCCGAAAGGAACGCUAAUACCGCAUACGUCCUACGGGAGAAAGCAGGGGACCUUCGGGCCUUGCGCUAUCAGAUGAGCCUAGGUCGGAUUAGCUAGUUGGUGAGGUAAUGGCUCACCAAGGCGACGAUCCGUAACUGGUCUGAGAGGAUGAGCAGUCAAACUGGAACUGAGACACGGUCCAGACUCCUACGGGAGGAAGCAGUGGGGAAUAUUGGACAAUGGGCGAAAGCCUGAUCCAGCCAUGCCGCGUGUGUGAAGAAGGUCUUCGGAUUGUAAAGCACUUUAAGUUGGGAGGAAGGGUUGUAGAUUAAUACUCUGCAAUUUUGACGUUACCAACAGAAUAAGCACCGGCUAACUUCGUGCCAGCCGCCGCCGUAAGAC